rnacentral:misc_RNA from 1 species
CGGCUCUACGUUUAGUCUCCCAACCUCAACCACAUCGGAACGUUAAUUUGAAGAGCACCAAGCAGCAUUGUGCCUUCAAGCAAAAGAGAAGGUCUAACUGCACCAUGAAAAUAUACAAGGUCUUCUCCUCAAUGAGUAUAAGACAAUUGCAACUAAAUUUAUCCAACAAUCAGAAGGAAUUUCUCAUAAUUGCAAGCAUAAUAUAUUAACAAACCAACCAGCUAUGCUAGGAGAAUUUCAUAUGCUGGAAUCCACGUAACAAGCCACAUUAAAUUUUAUAAUUAUAUGCAAUUGUAGAUUUCCUUUCACAAAGUGGUGUGUAAACUUUUGGUGCCUUAUGGCAUCUAGAUUUCCCAAGAAGAAAACUGGUGAAGGGGCAUCAUUUGAUCCAGCAGAUGCCUGUUUGGCUUGGGCAUGGUAAAGACCCUUCUUACUUCUCUUGUUGAACAAUGCAAUGAUCUCUGUGAUCUCUCCGUCAGCAUCAAUUUCACUCAUGCAGUGGCAGAAGGGUUCUCCAUUUGAUCUGAGCAGCAAUUAUACACUUGCUGCAUCUUUGACAGCUUCAUUAAAUGAGGCAGCAAGGUAUUCUGCAAGGCUUUGUUGAGAACUGGACUUGUUAGAAGACUCUGAAACUCUUGGCUUUUUCAUGGUAACUGAAUUUGAAGAGCCAGGUGUAUGCAAAUUAUUCACUGCACUGUCCAGACCCCUCCACACAACAGGUUCUAAAUUUUGCCAUGGGUCUUCAACCAUUGACUUGUCAUAAAAAGGCUCUGGGCCCAAUUUCUCAUCUGGAGCAGUUCCACGAAAAUGAAACCCCCGCCCUCUCCUACCACUCCAGCUAGAUACUUGGUUUCUUCUGCCACCAUGCCACUGUCCCUGGGUUCUUCCUGAAUAAGGAGAACCACCUCCACGCCCUGAGCCAAUGAUUGGACUGUUGCCAUGCUGAGGAGGCCCACGUUGUCCAUAAUAAAAACCAGGGCUCCCUACUGGUUGAAAGCUUGGGUUUCCUCCAUGGUUGGGGUAUGGACUUCUUGUAUAAGUAUCGGAGGGGUUGCUGUAAUAGCCAGCUACAUUUUCUUGAUGCAUGGGAAAAGGACUGGUUCUUGGACUCCUGAAGGGAGCAGGACUAUCAUAAGGACCAUGUGCUUGAUACAUCCUCUGAUUGGGUGAAUAACUACUUUGCAUUUGAAUUUGAUGAGCAGGAGAGGGAGUCAUUUCAGUGUUCCUUAAUCCUAAUAAAUAAAAAGGAAAGGAAAAAAUACAAGAGAAGGGAGGGAUAUCAUUAACUUAUAUCAGUACACACACAAAGUCACAAACACAUAUAUAUUCCUUUAUUUUGGUAACGUGAGAUCAUGAACCUUUUUGAGGACCUUGCCAGAUCAGAAGCAAGCUCCCUACCCACAAGAACUUUGCAUGAGGUAAGUGCAGGGUUGAACCCAAGACCACAUGAUUACUGAGCCAAACAUUUGGAAAAAAAAAAGCCAUCCUAAUUGUUAUAAAAGUUGUAGAGUAUGGUUUUGGUAAGUGAUAAAAUUUGUUGCUGGAGUCUGAGCUUAGAAGACCUCCAUGGUGCAAUGGAACAAUUCAGAUAGUGAAGUUGGUGGUAUAAAAUACAUCUGUAAGAAUAAUAACCUAAGUUGAGUUUCAGACCAUGUGAAUCUCAUUUGUAUACACAUGACAAACAUGAUACUAACUUCUACAAUUUUUAAAUAAGCUUCUAAGUUAGAAAAAAAUAUUUUCACAAAAUCUCAUCCUCUCAUGUUGGCUAUGCAUGUGAUCUGGGGUUGCCCAUAUUCUCAGCCAACUAUAAUGGCAGGUCUAUUGAAACUUUUAGGGGCAUUGAUUGGCCAUGCCUGACCACAUUUAAAGUUCAAUGCCCCUAGAGUCGCAGGCAGCCGAAGUUCAAUUUUAAUAGUCCAUUUUAUAUCUCUAAAGCUCCACAAUUGACACUUAUUAGUCAUUACGCACAAUCAACACUCAAAAACACCAAGAUAUAAAAACAUAUUUCUAGAAAACUAACAUUCUCCCACAGAAUAAAAUGAAUUGAAAGAAUCAAUAACAAACGUGCAUGGUUCAACAAAUACGUAUAAUUUCUGUAAACAGCAGUUUAAUCAGCACCCUACCUGGACGGGGAGAAGAAAACCGCGCCAUGGGAGAACCACUAUCACUUGUUGGGGUAACAUAUCCUUGCUGAGCCUGGUUACCAGCAGCACUCCUUUUCUUGUUAGCAGAAAAUGCAGCCAUAGGAUCUGUGUAAAAAUCAAACCUUGGAAUUGCACGGGACUCCUCCUGUGCAGGCAGAGCGGCAGGGCUCUCCAGUAGUGGAUUAGCAAGGAAACCAGAAACUGCUGGGUUUUCAAAAUUGCUAGAAGCUUCAGCCUGAGCAGCUAUUGUUCGCAUUGCUUUCAAUCUUUCCCUCCUCCUUUCUGAAUCCUCCAUUUAACCAGCUAAAAAGAGCUCUAAUCGAAACACGAAUUUGAGUUGAUUACUUCUGCGAUUUCUCCCUGUCGCUUGUUUCAGUCGUAGAAAUUGAGAAUGG